rnacentral:rRNA from 1 species
UACGUAGGGGGCAAGCGUUAUCCGGAUUUACUGGGUGUAAAGGGAGCGCAGGCGGUGAGGCAAGUCUGAUGUGAAAACCCGGGGCUCAACUCCGGGACUGCAUUGGAAACUGUCUUACUUGAGUACCGGAGAGGUAAGUGGAAUUCCUAGUGUAGCGGUGAAAUGCGUAGAUAUUAGGAGGAACACCAGUGGCGAAGGCGGCUUACUGGACGGUAACUGACGCUGAGGCUCGAAAGCGUGGGGAGCAA